CUGUUUGAAUUUGUUGAGGACAUAUAAAAUGAAUGUGAGCGUCUAUCCCUCCAGCAGUAACUAACAUACCUUCUGCAGCAAUUACUUCAGUUGCUGCACCAAUGACAAUAUCUACGUCAUCCAUGAUAAAAGGAUUCCCGGCUUUGCCAAUUGAGGUAAUUAUCCCUUCCUUAAUGCCAAUAUCCGCCUUAUAAAUACCUGUAUAAUCUACAAUAAGCGCAUUCGUAAUAACUAAAUCUACAACAUCCUCUCGUUUUGCUAAUGGAUGUUGCCCCAUUCCAUCACGA
rnacentral:sRNA from 1 species